UAGGCAACCUGCCCAUCAAUGGGGAUACCCAGCCGAAAGGUUGGCUAAUACCGCAUACGCUCCACGGUUGGAAUACUGUGGAGGAAAGAUUUAUCGUUGAUGGAUGGGCCUGUGGUCGAUUAGCUAGUUGGUGGGGUAAAGGCCUACCAAGGCGACGAUCGAUAGCUGGUCUGAGAGGAUGAUCAGCCACACUGGGACUGAGACACGGCCCAG
rnacentral:rRNA from 1 species